AGCUUUGUGCAGUGGCAGUAUCGUAGCCAAUGAGGUUUAUCAGAGGCGCAGUUAUUGCUAAUUGAAAACGUUUUAUCUUAUGUGCAGUGGCUAGGGAGUAGGGAGCCAAGGAUGAACAAUGUAGCCCUGGAUCCUGUCUUCAGAAACCCUCAAGAUGGGGAGAUAAACAGUUAAGGCAAUUUUAUUAAAAUUUUAUUUAAAA
rnacentral:snRNA from 1 species